rnacentral:rRNA from 1 species
UACGGGGGGGGUAAGCGUUGUUCGGAAUUACUGGGCGUAAAGGGCUCGUAGGCGGCCAACUAAGUCGGACGUGAAAUCCCUCAGCUUAACUGGGGAACUGCGUCCAAGACUGGGAGGCUUGAAUCCGGGAGAGGGAUGCGGAAUUCCAGGUGUAGCGGUGAAAUGCGUAGAUAUCUGGAGGAACACCGGUGGCGAAGGCGGCAUCCUGGACCGGUAUUGACACUGAGGCGCGAAAGCCAGGGGAGCAAACGGG